UGGGGCUUCAGAAGCCAACACGAUGGUUUUCGGGCUCACAUCCCAAAGGCUGCUCUUCCUUUUAGCACCUGGGACCUACCAGGAACCUCAACCUCUAACAACAUUGGUCCCCGUUACCGUGGAGUUUGCGCCCAGCGUUCGCUGGAGGGCCGUUUGAAGAAUGAUUGUUGUCGUAAAGGCCUUUGAUAAUAAUAGAUACUGUUUACCCAGUGCUUGAUGCCAGGCAUUGCUACAAACACUGCGUACACAUUAUUCUAUUUAAUCUUCAUAACCCAGUGAGGAUAUCAACCAGGAUAUGGCAUUGCAUUGGAUCCCAACCAGGAUAUGACGUUACAUUGGAUCCCAACCAGGAUAUGGCAUUGCACUGGAUCCCAACCAGGAUAUGGCAUUGCACUGGAUCCCAACCAGGAUAUGGCAUUGCGUUGGAUCCCAACCAGGUUAUGGCAUUACAUUGGAUCCCAACCAGGUUAUGGCAUUGCAUUGGAUCCCAACCAGGAUAUGACAUUGCAUUUACUCAUCACGCCUCCUUAGGUUCCUCUUGGCUGUGACGGUUUCUCAGACUAUCCUUGUUUUUUAGGACCUUGACAGUUUUGAGGCAUACUGGAGAGCUCAACGUGGGCGUUUCUUUCUGUAACAAGUAUGCAUCAUGGCUGGCUGACUCCUCCCCAUAACAAGCAGUUUAAAGGUG
rnacentral:lncRNA from 1 species